UACGUAGGGGGCGAGCGUUAUCCGGAUUUAUUGGGCGUAAAGCGUGUGUAGGCGGUUUGUUAAGUCUGAGAUUAAAGCCCGAGGCUCAACCUCGGUUCGUUUCAGAAACUGGCAGACUUGAGUGUGGUAGAGGCAAGUGGAAUUUCUAGUGUAGCGGUUAAAUGCGUAGAUAUUAGAAGGAACACCAGUGGCGAAGGCGACUUUCUGGACAGUAACUGACGUUGAGGCACGAAAGUGUGGGGAGCAAACAGG
rnacentral:rRNA from 1 species